rnacentral:rRNA from 1 species
UACGGAGGAUCCGAGCGUUAUCCGGAUUUAUUGGGUUUAAAGGGUGCGUAGGCGGUUUGAUAAGUUAGAGGUGAAAUGUCGGGGCUCAACCCCGAAACUGCCUCUAAUACUGUUGGACUAGAGAAUAGUUGCGAUAGGCGGAAUGUAUGGUGUAGCGGUGAAAUGCUUAGAGAUCAUACAGAACACCGAUUGCGAAGGCAGCUUACCAAACUAUAUCUGACGUUGAGGCACGAAAGCGUGGGUAGCAAACAGG